CAUGCAGUCCCUGAGAGAAAGGGAGAAAAACAGACACACAGCAGAAGCCAUUUCAAUUCCUAACUGCUUUCUGCUUCCGAUUUCAGUUCACCCAUGCUUCUUACUUUGGGGCACCUUGAACAAGGCAUCUUUGCUCCUUCUGACCUGUUGCCAUGGAAAGAGUGGAUGACUCAGUCUGGAGUGGAACAUAAUGCCAUCUGUAAACACAAGACGGUGACAAGACUUGAAAGAAUUGUAUUUGUCUGUCUUUCUCGCCUUCUGCUGUGGAUGUGAGGUCUACACUUCUGGAGAUGCUUUCAUUUACAUAAGAGAAGAUUGACUUAUAGACUUCCUAUUGUGAGGAGAGCUGCUGGGAAAAUGAUGGUGGCAAAUGAUGGUCUCAAGGAGAGAGCUAAGCUAUGUGAGCCCGGAAGCACUUGAGAUUAUGAUGAAAAAUCCUCUGUCUAAAUUGCUGCAAAGCCGCAUCUUUUUCUUUUGUCGUGUUGCAGGCUUCAAAAUGCUUUUCCUCUGGAGUUCGGAAGCCGAGGUUCAUUCAAGCAGCUGCCUCUGAUCUGGUCUCUGCAAGUCUAGGUAGACUCAGGCAGAUAGCAAUUCAUUGUCAGUGUGGAGGGGUAGGAAGCUCUAAAGAAUUCACAUUCAUUUGGCAGCAAGAAUGCCUGUCUACUAUGCUCACAACCCUGGUCCAGAGCUACUGGCCUCCAAAGCUCCAUUGAGAGCUUCCCCCUAGGUUAUUUCCCCAACCAACACCCCAAUCUAUAGACUUGACCUAUUUCUUGAACAUCUGAUUUAGAGAACAUGGUGCCUUGGAAACUGCCAGGUCCCAUCCUCAUGUGAGACAUCACCCUCCCGCCCCCAUGGACCUUGUGAAGUUUAAAUGAGGAGGCUUUUAAGGGGGAGCUCUUUAGCCAACAAGGCAGCUUCAUGGGUCUCAGAUUGAGAGCAUAGCAGCCUGUGUCCAGGACUAGUUAUAUAAGAGAGGCUCCAAGAGAGCAUAGAACAUGGCUUUCUACAAAUAAAAAAGGCAAAAAGGCUACACUCACUAGUGCCACAGCUGGGAAGCAACUACGAGCAAUGAAUUUCUCAUGCUAACAAAUCCACGCUCCUCGGAAAACAGAUGCUGAGCCCUGGGACUGGCACUGGAUCUCCGCUGGCAGGACCUGCAAGGUUCAGAGAUGGAAGGGUAUCUAGAGACCAUUUGUUCAUAAACACAGCUGAGGGCCAGAAACCUGAGGUUAUGCCCUGCCUGGGCUGCACCGAUACACCCCUUCCACGCAGCGUUUCCACAAUGAAGAAACAAGACAUGCAAGGCUUCUGCAGCCCACGCUCUACAGAAAUAAUUAAACAGUUUUUUUUAACCUCCUGAACUUUUCAUUUAUUAUUGCCAUCCAUCACGUCUACCUUCUCAAAUCGCAGAAUCCCGAAACUGAGCUCUGGGGUCAAGGGUUUAUUGUUUAAUGGAGAUAGAACAUUUUGUAAAUUGCACGAAGUCACAAUGUUUAUAAUAGAAGCUUCUGGUGUACUGAAUCUUUUCCAUUUAACAAACAGUGAGCUCUGACAUGUGUUCUUCCUGCAGAGCACGAAAUGUGGGGUAAGUGCAGUCCUGGCAUGGACACGCUACCAAAUCUUUCCUGUAAACCAAGCGAUGUCCGCAGUCAGAUGAAAACAUUCCUUCCACCAAAUACCAGGAAACGCUAAAAGUAUCACCAUUCUUCUAAGGUCAUGCUAAAAUGAAGUUUUGGCUUUUAGAACACAGAGCAGGGCUGAAGGAGGCCAACAGCUUUGUCCAAUACACAUUUGUUGCUACAAGUCACCAGGGACAAUGUCCUGGUUCGAAUAUGAACACGCGUACGGAGAAUUUUCCCAGGACUGAACCUUCCAGUGAAAAGUGGUAAACUCUAAGGCUGUGUCAUGAAUUCCUGAGCCACAAUAAAUCUGUGACUGUCGGACUCUGUGUGUGGGUAAAAUGGAUAAUUUUCUGACCUUUGGUAAGCUUUCACUGGAGCAAAGGAAGUCCCUCCACAUAAUGUUUCCCCGCUACAAAAUACUGGCAGGAAGCCAAAG